UACAGAGGGGGCAAGCGUUGUUCGGAAUUACUGGGCGUAAAGGGCGCGUAGGCGGCCUUCUAAGUCGAACGUGAAAUCCCUAGGCUCAACCUAGGAACUGCGUCCGAUACUGGGAGGCUUGAAUCCGGGAGAGGGAUGCGGAAUUCCAGGUGUAGCGGUGAAAUGCGUAGAUAUCAGGAGGAACACCGGUGGCGAAGGCGGAUCUCUGGGCCUUACCUGACGCUGAGGCGCGAAAGCUAGGGGAGCAAACAGG
rnacentral:rRNA from 1 species